UACGCAGGGGGCUAGCUUGCUUCGGAAUUACUGGGCGUAAAGCGCGCGUAGGCGGGCGGCUAAGUCAGGGGUGAAAUUCCGAGGCUCAACCUCGGAACUGCCUUUGAUACUGGCUGUCUGGAGUGCGAGAGAGGUAAGUGGAAUUCCGAGUGCAGAGGUGAAAUUCGUAGAUAUUCGGAGGAACACCAGAGGCGAAGGCGGCUUACUGGCUCGAUCCUGACGAUGAGGCGCGAAAGCGUGGGGAGCAAACAGG
rnacentral:rRNA from 1 species